GGGAUGUGGAAGGCGAAGCCGAGGAGGGAGCGGGGCGCUUGGCUGCUUUUUCUCCCCUUGGCUGCCGCGCACAACAUGGCCGCGCCGGGAAGCGCCCUGCAGCAGCGAGAGGCGGCGGGGCUGGCGGCGCUCCAGCCCGGCGGGGGGGGGGGGGGGUGUGAGCUGAGCGAGAAGGACAAAGGCGGCUCACAUAAUGGAGGCGAAGCCCUGGGUGCCUAUAAAUAAUGCCGCCCGCCCCUCGCCUUCCUCCCUUCCCCCAGCCGCAGCCUCCCGCUCGCUUGUGUGAAUACCAAGAGAUUAAAGUAGCCUAAUGCAGAAGGGGGGGGGAAGAAGAAUAGCAGGAACAAACAGCUCCCCCUCCAAAUAAAGCCCAGGCAGCUGCGGGUGGAUGGCGGGGGGGGCUCCAGGCAAAUGAGGCAGCAGCGCUGGCCGCGGGAGGAGCAGGGCGGCGUCGCCAUCCUCCCCGCCCGGAGCGGGCUGCGCUGCGCCCUGCUCCCCGCCGCUCGUCACAUGCCUCUUUGUUGGUUUCCAUCUCCUUGCCCCUCCUGGGCUUUCCCCCCCCUUCGCCAUCGCUCCGCCGGGGCAGCCGCUGCCCUGCCUCCACCCGCCCGCCCGCAGCCGGGGUGGGAUGGGGUGGGGUGGCCCGGCCUGCAGCGCCGAGCUCUCCCCGGGCCCGCAGCCGGUCUGGGCUGGCGCGGAGCCGGCUGCAGUGCGAGCCGCCAUGGCCGCCGAGGUGUCAAUGUGCCUUUUUUCCUAUCUUUUUUUUUUUCCUUCUCCUUUUUGCUUUGGGUUUUUUUCCUUUUUUUUUUUUUUUUUUUUUGGAGCAGAUUUUCCUGCAGCUCGCUUUGGGUGGAGGCGUGGGGGUCAUUUCGGAGCUUCACAAGCCUGGCUAUGCUCUAUGUGAAGAGCUGCACCUCGUGCUCCACUGCAAACCCAAAUUAGAUGAGCUAGGAAAAGCCUGGCUUGAGCAACCACUGCAGAGGGCAGGACAGGGAGGAAAAGCAAACACUUAGAGAGAGGUGGCCUCCCCGGUCAGGCUAUAGAGCAGGACCGUCCUGAGGACCCUGUGGGAGGGAGAAGGCUGUGUCGAGAACAAGCGACAAACCGUCCGCACAAACAGAACACGUUUCCAUGGAAGGGAAAACAGAUAUAUCUAUGUGUUUCCGCACUGUCAGGUUGGCUUUAAAACGCUGCGGUGCUGGGAGCCAUGGCGGACCCUUUGCUCCGUCCCUGCGAGGCGUGCGGUGACCGGCCAGACCGGCUGGGAACGCCUGGCCCUCGCUCCUGCCACGGCUGCAACCGCCUGCCUGGUUUACAAUGGCUCCAAACAGUAAUCUGCUGGUAAACUGGGAUGAAGUGGUGACGUUUCUCUUAGCUAAACACCAUUAAAAGGCUCCUCUGCUGUUUCUCAAUAGAGGUGAAAAGCAGUUUAGCUUCCUGGAAAUGGCCGAAACAGGCGACGUGUGGAUCAAAGUACAGCGUGGAGAUCUGUUCCUGGUUUUGCAGGGGGGUUUUGAACUGGAGCAAAACCUGGUUUCUGCAGCUUGCAUCGCAGUGAGUUAAGUCAGCACGUGAAGUCAUUAAAAAGCAGAUUUAAACGGCGUCAUCUGCUAUUAACUUGCCUGGGAUUUAAAACUGAUGUUUAAAUAGAUAUUUGGAUAUUAGUAAUAAGCUGCUUUUAAACCUUAAUGUUGGUUUGGUUAACCCUAAAGCAAACUAGCUUUGCCUUACGCAGGCUUUGAACCGAUUCAGCCAGCCCAUAAUACUGUGGGAGCUCAAAUAGCUUUGUCUGUACUUGCACUUCUCUGCGCAUUUUCCAGGACUAUGAUCUUUGUCUGCAGUUAAUCAUUGCUCAGGACGGCCGUUCCCGAUGGUAGAAUCCAUGAACUGCUCCGGCUGGGAGAGGUCCUGACGCCCGCGUACGUGCAGACCAGGGCCAGCAAUGGCUGGGGCAGCAGGCGUCGUGCAGCGAGCGCGCCGUGCGGACCCAGUGAGUUGUGUGGGUCCUCGGCACGUCUGGAAGUGGGGUUUGUGAGUCUGAGACGACAAUUUCUUUCCGUUUUUCAGUUUCUAAAUGACUGUAACAUUCAGCGUAGUUUAAAAGUCACCGAGGCAGUCAAGACCGGUUGCACUCUCGGAGUGGGUGGUUUCAUGGCUGAACCUUGUAUCUGAAAAGCUGAAUGUUCUGGUACAGCGUGUUUAGAUCCCAGAAAGGUCAAACCAGACUUUCAUACUUGGGUUAGAUUGACCCUGGUUUACUGCGUGAGACUCUUCAGAGAAAGAAAGAGAUCUUUCAGGAGAAAGGGGAAGAA